UACAGAGGGGGCAAGCGUUGUUCGGAAUUACUGGGCGUAAAGGGCGCGUAGGCGGCCCGCUAAGUCGAACGUGAAAUCCCCCGAGCUCAACUCGGGAACUGCGUCCGAUACUGGUGGGCUUGAAUCCGGGAGAGGGAUGCGGAAUUCCGGGUGUAGCGGUGAAAUGCGUAGAUAUCCGGAGGAACACCGGUGGCGAAGGCGACAUCCUGGACCGGUAUUGACGCUGAGGCGCGAAAGCCAGGGGAGCAAACGGG
rnacentral:rRNA from 1 species